UACGGAGGGUGCAAGCGUUAUCCGGAUUCACUGGGUUUAAAGGGUGCGUAGGCGGACAGGUAAGUCAGUGGUGAAAUCUCUGGGCUUAACUCAGAAACUGCCGUUGAUACUAUUUGUCUUGAAUGUCAUGGAGGUAAGCGGAAUAUGUCAUGUAGCGGUGAAAUGCUUAGAUAUGACAUAGAACACCGAUAGCGAAGGCAGCUUACUACAUGAAGAUUUGACGCUGAGGCACGAAAAGCGUGGGGGAGCAAAACAGG
rnacentral:rRNA from 1 species